GACGAACGCUGGCGGCGUGCUUAACACAUGCAAGUCGAACGGAAAGGCCUGCUUUCCCUUGUGGAUUGCGGGUACUCGAGUGGCGAACGGGUGAGUAACACGUGAGUGAUCUGCCCCCAACUUGGGUAUAAGCCUGGGAAACUGGGUCUAAUUCCCGAUAGGACUGCAGGGUGGUGCCUGUGGUGGAAAACGAUUUUCUAGUGGUUGGGGAUGAGCUCGCGGCCUAUCAGCUUGUUGGUGGGGUAAUGGCCUACCAAGGCGGCGACGGGUAGCCGGCCUGGGAGGGUGGACGGCCACAGUGGGACUGAUAUACGGCCCAGACUCCUACGGGAGGCAGCAGUGGGGAAUAUUGCACAAUGGGCGGAAGCCUGAUGCAGCGACGCCGCGUGGGGGAUGACGGCCUUCGGGUUGUAAACUCCUUUCGACCGCGAGGAAGCCACCUGGUUGGAAGGGUGGUGACGGUAGUGGUAGAAGAAGCACCGGCUAACUACGUG
rnacentral:rRNA from 1 species